UGAGGAAGAUAAUGACGGUACUCAACAAGGAAGUGACGGCUAACURCGUGCCAGCAGCCGCGGUAAAACGUAGGUCACAAGCGUUGUCCGGAAUUACUGGGUGUAAAGGGAGCGCAGGCGGGAAGACAAGUUGGAAGUGAAAUCYAUGGGCUCAACCCAUAAACUGCUUUCAAAACUGUUUUUCUUGAGUAGUGCAGAGGUAGGCGGAAUUCCCGGUGUAGCGGUGGAAUGCGUAGAUAUCGGGAGGAACACCAGUGGCGAAGGCGGCCUACUGGGCACCAACUGACGCUGAGGCUCGAAAGUGUGGGUAGCAAACAGGAUUAGAUACCCUGGUAGUCCACACCGUAAACGAUGAUUACUAGGUGUUGGAGGAUUGACCCCUUCAGUGCCGCAGUUAACACAAUAAGUAAUCCACCUGGGGAGUACGACCGCAAGGUUGAAACUCAAAGGAAUUGACGGGGGCCCGCACAAGCAGUGGAGUAUGUGGUUUAAUUCGACGCAACGCGAAGAACCUUACCAAGUCUUGACAUCCCUUGACGAACAUAGAAAUAUGUUUUCUCUUCGGAGCAAGGAGACAGGUGGUGCAUGGUUGUCGUCAGCUCGUGUCGUGAGAUGUUGGGUUAAGUCCCGCAACGAGCGCAACCCUUAUGGUCAGUUACUACGCAAGAGGACUCUGGCCAGACUGCCGUUGACAAA
rnacentral:rRNA from 1 species